UAAGGAAUAUUGGUCAAUGGGGGCAACCCUGAACCAGCCAUGCCGCGUGCAGGAAGACGGCCCUACGGGUUGUAAACUGCUUUUAUACGGGAAUAAACCUCUGCUCGUGAGCAGAGUUGAAUGUACUGUAAGAAUAAGGAUCGGCUAACUCCGUGCCAGCAGCCGCGGUAAUACGGAGGAUCCAAGCGUUAUCCGGAUUUAUUGGGUUUAAAGGGUGCGUAGGCGGCCUAUUAAGUCAGGGGUGAAAGACGGUGGCUCAACCAUCGCAGUGCCUUUGAUACUGAUAGGCUUGAUUACACUUGAGGUAGGCGGAAUGUGACAAGUAGCGGUGAAAUGCAUAGAUAUGUCACAGAACACCAAUUGCGAAGGCAGCUUACUAAGGUGUUAAUGACGCUGAGGCACGAAAGCGUGGGGAUCAAACA
rnacentral:rRNA from 1 species